rnacentral:ncRNA from 2 species
GCCGGUGGGAAACCGGCGCUGUCCCGCAACUGUGAUGCCCCGCACGCGGCGUCGGCCUCCGGCCGACGCCGAACCGCGUGGGGAUGAGCCAGG